UACGAAGGGGGCUAGCGUUGCUCGGAAUCACUGGGCGUAAAGGGUGCGUAGGCGGGUCUUUAAGUCAGGGGUGAAAUCCCGAGGCUCAACCUCGGAACUGCCUUUGAUACUGGGGAUCUCGAGUCCGGGAGAGGUGAGUGGAACUGCGAGUGUAGAGGUGAAAUUCGUAGAUAUUCGCAAGAACACCAGUGGCGAAGGCGGCUCACUGGCCCGGAACUGACGCUGAGGUGCGAAAGCGUGGGAGCAACAGG
rnacentral:rRNA from 1 species